rnacentral:lncRNA from 1 species
AGGUUUUAUGAGUUCUUCUUGGCAUAUGUUAAUUACUUGUCUGCUUUUUUGCCACUUGUAUCUUCGAUUUUGCUUCGCUGCUGCCCUCUUUUUCCUUAGUUUCUUUUUGUCAAAUAUGCAGGUCAGUAAAUGGUUUGAAAAUGCUCGUCAUUGCCAUCGUCAUUCUUCUCGCUGGGACUCAAUUAUGAGUCAAAAAGUGUUGAAAGAAUCUCCUUCGUCACCAAAUGUUAUGGGAGAACCACUUGGAACUGAAUCUAAAAGCACCAUAAACAAUGUUUUGUGCAAUGGGGUUGGAAAAAUGGAACGACCAAAGCAAUGCCUUAACGGAGAAAAAUGUCAUGCAAUUGAUAAGAGUGAGGGAGAUUUGUUGAUACAGGAGGCCAGUGGGAAAAAAUCUAGAAAACCAAAAGCAAAAAAUGAUAUCACAGGUCGAGGAUUGGAUGACACUCCCACCAAUAAGACUUCUAACAAUUAUGAGUAAAAAAGUGUCGAAAGAGUCUCCUUCCUCACCAAAUAUUAUGGGAGUACCACUUGGAACUGGAUCUAUAAGCACCAUAAACAAUGUUUUGUGCAAUGGGGUUGGAAAAAUGGAAUCACCAAGGCAAUGCCU